CUCUUAUCAAGAGUAGCUGAGGGACUGGCCCUAUGAAGCUCGGCAACCCCCCUUUUAGGGAAGGUGCUAAAUCCUGCAAACGAUAUCCGUUUGAAAGAUAAGAG
rnacentral:ncRNA from 2 species